GUCUUAUUGAAAAUAAUUUUAAGUCGAUCUGCCCAAUGAAUAAUUAAAUGGCUGCAGUAUAAUUGACUGUACAAAGGUAGCAUAAUAAAUUGGUUUUUAAAUGAAAUCUAGAAUGAAAGAAUUAAUGAAAUAUAUACUGUCUCAUAUUUAUUUUAUGAAUUUAAAUUUUUAAUAAAAAUGUUAAAAUUUAUUUAUGGGACGAUAAGACCCUAUAGAAUUUUAUAUUAAAUUAAUUUUAUUAUAAAAUAAAAUUUAGUUUAAUAUUUGAUUGGGAGAAUUAUUAAAUUUAAUAAAUUUUAAUUAAAAUAAACUUAAAUUAAAGAAAAUAUUUUGAUCUUUAAAUUAAAAUUAUUAGAAUAAAUUACCUUAGGGAUAACAGCGUUAUAUUUUUUUAUAGAUCUUAUAGAAAAAAAUGAUUGCGACCUCGAUGUUGAAUUAAGAUGAAUUUUAAAUGUAGAAGUUUAAUAAUUAAGUCUGUUCGACUUUUAAAAUCUUACAUGAUUUGAGUUCAAAUCGACGUAAGU
rnacentral:rRNA from 1 species